UGACUCUGGUUUCUCUUCACUGCUGCUAGAUCUUUCGCCUUUUACUAAAGACUUCCGUGGAAGGAACAAACAUGAGUUGAAUAUAUUUUUGGCAGGCUUUGCUGUAUGGCUG